CAGCAGCCGCGGUAAUACAGAGGGUGCAAGCGUUAAUCGGAAUUACUGGGCGUAAAGCGCGCGUAGGUGGUUUGUUAAGUUGGAUGUGAAAGCCCCGGGCUCAACCUGGGAACUGCAUCCAAAACUGGCAAGCUAGAGUACGGUAGAGGGUGGUGGAAUUUCCUGUGUAGCGGUGAAAUGCGUAGAUAUAGGAAGGAACACCAGUGGCGAAGGCGACCACCUGGACUGAUACUGACACUGAGGUGCGAAAGCGUGGGGAGCAAACAGGAUUAGAUACCCCCGUAGUCCCUGUCUCUUAUAA
rnacentral:rRNA from 1 species